GAUGAACGCUGGCGGCGUGCUUAAUACAUGCAAGUCGAACGAGGUGCUUUUGUAGCAAUACGGGAGUAUCCUAGUGGCGAACGGGUGAGUAACGCGUUGGUGACCUGCCCCGAAGUGUGGGAUAACAGUCCGAAAGGAUUGCUAAUACCGCAUGUGGUCACCGGGUUUAGAAACCGGUGACUAAAGCAGUAAUGCGCUUUGGGAGGGACCUGCGUCCCAUCAGUUAGUUGGUGAGGUAACGGCCCACCAAGACGUCGACGGGUAAGGGACCUGAGAGGGUGGUCCCUCACAAUGGCACUGAAACACGGGCCAUACACCUACGGGUGGCAGCAGUAGGGAAUAUUGGGCAAUGGGCGAAAGCCUGACCCAGCAACGCCGCGUGUACGAUGAAGGUCUUCGGAUCGUAAAGUACUUUUCUGGGAGAUGAGAAAGGACAGUAUCCCAGGAAUAAGCCUCGGCUAACUACGUGCCAGCCGCCGCAGUAACAC
rnacentral:rRNA from 1 species